CAGAAGCAGAGCUCUAGGGCAUCUCCACCAUGGCCUGGACACCUCUCCUGCUCCCCCUCCUCACUCUCUGCACAGGUUCUCUGGCCUCUUCUGAGCUGACUCAGCCACCUACAGUGUCUGUGGACUUGGGACAGACAGCCACAAUAACCUGCCAGGGAGAGAACGCAGGCAUGUUUGCUCACUGGUACCAGCAGAAGCCCGGCCAGGCCCCUGUGCUGGUCAUCUAUGGUAGUAACAACAGGCCUUUGGGGAUUCCUGAACGAUUCUCUGGCUCCAACUCAGGAGACACAGCCACCCUGACCAUCUCUGGAGCCCAGGCCGAGGAUGAGGCUGACUAUUACUGUCUGUCAUUGGAUACUAGUGAUAAUGCUCACAGUGACACAGGCUGA